CGGGCUCCCGGCAGAGGCGCUGCAGAGGCUCCCGGGAGCGGGCGGCGCGGCGUUAGCGCGGCGAGCGGAUAGCGGCGGGCCCUCCCGGGCAGCCAGCGUGGACGGAGCGGCGCGCGUGCCGAGCAUGGCGGGCUCCCUGCCUCCCUGCGUGGUGGACUGCGGCACCGGGUAUACCAAGCUUGGCUACGCAGGCAACACUGAGCCACAGUUCAUUAUUCCUUCAUGUAUUGCCAUCAGAGAGUCUGCAAAGGUGGUCGACCAAGCUCAGAGGAGGGUGUUGAGGGGUGUCGACGACCUGGACUUCUUCAUAGGGGACGAAGCCAUAGAUAAACCCACGUAUGCCACAAAGUGGCCAGUAAGACACGGAAUCAUUGAAGACUGGGAUCUGAUGGAAAGGUUCAUGGAACAAGUGAUUUUUAAAUACCUUCGAGCUGAGCCUGAGGACCAUUAUUUUUUAAUGACAGAACCUCCACUGAACACACCAGAAAACAGAGAAUAUCUUGCAGAAAUUAUGUUUGAAUCAUUUAAUGUACCAGGACUCUACAUUGCAGUUCAGGCAGUGCUGGCCUUAGCAGCGUCUUGGACCUCGCGACAAGUGGGCGAACGUACGUUAACGGGGAUCGUCAUCGACAGUGGGGAUGGGGUCACCCAUGCUAUCCCAGUGGCAGAAGGGUAUGUCAUUGGGAGCUGCAUCAAACACAUCCCUAUCGCAGGGAGAGAUAUUACGUAUUUCAUGCAACAGCUGCUGAGGGAGCGGGAGGUGGGGAUUCCUCCGGAGCAGUCGCUGGAGACUGCCAAAGCCAUCAAGGAGAAAUACUGUUACAUUUGCCCUGAUAUCGUCAAGGAAUUUGCCAAGUAUGAUGUGGAUCCUCAGAAGUGGAUCAAACAGUACACGGGGAUCAAUGCAGUCAACCAGAAGAAGUUUAUUAUAGAUGUUGGCUACGAAAGGUUCCUGGGCCCUGAGAUUUUCUUUCACCCGGAGUUUGCCAACCCAGACUUUAUGGAGUCCAUCUCGGACGUUGUUGAUGAAGUCAUUCAGAGCUGCCCCAUCGAUGUCCGUCGUCCGCUGUAUAAGAAUGUCGUUCUUUCGGGGGGCUCGACGAUGUUCAGGGACUUUGGACGUCGCCUGCAGAGAGACUUAAAAAGGGUGGUGGACGCCAGACUGAGACUCAGCGAGGAGCUCAGUGGCGGCAGAAUAAAGCCCAAGCCCGUGGAGGUCCAGGUGAUAACACAUCAUAUGCAGCGCUAUGCGGUGUGGUUCGGAGGCUCGAUGCUGGCCUCAACUGUGGGUGUGCGAUGCCGUAGCACACGUGUGUGAGAGGACCUCCCUCCGCUGUGUCACCGUCUGCAGUGUGGUCAGCGGGAGAGCCCAGCGGAAGAAAUGACCCCGCAGGAAUCUUGAAGACAAAGCAUCUUUCUUUACUCAGUUGACGAGAAUUUUUGAUAUGCCGGGAUGCGUCGUGUCCUUCUGAGCACAAUGUAGUGCACUGCGUUCCGUGUCUACACCCUGGCCCCCGAAACAGGAACACCUCUCGGCACCAGUGGUCCAGAGGACAGAGUCUGGGGAAUCCGUCCUACUGGGAUCCCCCAGGGAGAGCCGCCUUCGGAUCGGGUUGUCGGAGGAGGGCCCUCUCUCAUCUUGCUGUUGGUAGACUGAGGGAAAUUGAGGUUUCUAAAAAGGAUUUUUUUGUUUUUACUUUGGAAUAAUUACUUUUAUUUUACUGUGAACUGAAGAGAAAUGAUAAUUGUGCUUCUGAUGGUCAUCGGUGAUAAAAAAAAUUAAGGAAAAUUGAAGUUACAGAAAGUAUUUUGGUAUUUUGCAGAAAGAUUGUAAUUAAGAAAAUGGGCUGUUUGGCAUUUCUUUCCGUAAUUUUUCAUUUCUUAUGCUCUCAUUCAUCAUCUGAGAGGAUGCACGCGUUCAGUGUGUUACAGUCUGCAGGCUGCAUUUAUGCAGUUUUUCUGCAGGGACCUAAUUCCUAUCCAUUGGAGUUUGAUUUCAAAUAUGAACAAAAUCCCUGACAGGAAAAGAUUGAGAGAUGCCAGGGGUUCCUGCAGUGCUAACUGGGGUGGGGGUGGGGGAUUGAUAGUGUGCUGGUCACUGGGACAACAGUUUUUAUUUUUUAGGGAAAACAGAUUCCUUUUAACGAGUAUGAUAAAAAUAAGAACGAUAUGAUGUUAUGCUGACAUCCUUUGUUCUUGAGUGAGAACCCCCAGUUUUCUUUAAUCUCCAGUCACAAUUGUGUGCUUUGGGGAAUAUUCUUUUUUUUUCGGGGGGGGUGGAUAUUCUUAAAGAGGAAAAUAAUUUUUAUUCAUUUUAAUAGUUUUAGUGGGCAUCCUAUUUGUGGUUAGGGCAAAGAGUUUCUAAAGGUCAUUUACUUUCAGACGUUUUUGGUUCAGAACUUUGGAGACUGUGGUCAGCCUUCCAUCGCGUGGGCUCUGCCCGUUCGUUAUCCAGGGGGGACUGUGAUUGUACCCCUGCCCUGCCCUCUGGCUGUUUUUCAUGGCAGCACCUCUUCUGGAGAAUGUAGAGGAAAAUUAAAGAUGAAAACGGCUUUCCUUUUAGUUGUGGGAAAAAUAAUUGGUGGUAAAGAAGAUAAAACUUUGUUGUAUGGAAAUAAAUGAAGAACCACAUAAGUAAGAGGCUGCUUACUUAGCGCUGGUGGAGCGCAGGGGUCCAUCCAGGGGAAGGGGGCUCCGGGGCGCCCUGGUGGAGGCUAUGGGCGCGGGGGACCUAGGGCGGCCAGCUUCCCCACGUGAUUGGUUAGGGGAGCAUGUUGGGUUUUCCCCAGUUGGUCCUGAGCUGGAAGUGGGGUCAGAAAUUAGGGAAGCUGUCCGUUAUUGAUAGAGUCUUGGCUGUCUUGGGCUGGUUGCUGCUCGUGCGGUUUGGCUUCCAGGGCUGAUGAUGCUUGUCGAUGAAAAAUUAAUCAGCCGAUCUAAGAAAGAAUUGGAAAAUUUUAUCUGAGCCAAAUUUGAGGAUGAUAACCCGGGAAGAGCAUCUCAGAAAGCUCUGAGAACUGUUCUGCCCUUUACAAGUUACGGCAUAGUUAUAGAAGCAUUUUCUUGAGACAGAGCAGAGUGUACAUUCAAUGAUGUAUUAUCGACAGCCUGCGUAAUCCAGAUCUAAGUGCCAUCGCGGCGGGUCACGUGACCCUUACGAGCUCAAGGAGGAACGUUCUCUUUUAAGGGGUUGUCUUGAUGCUGGGAGAAUGUGGCUCUUUUUGGUUGAGCAGGUAUUUCUGCUGAUGGGGGAGGUUUGAUCGAUGCGUAGUGCAGGUACACAGUGCACAGUGUGGGGAGAGAGGAGACCAAAGGGCAGAGAAGAGUUUUCAUGUUUAAAUUUUUCUUGUCUUGCCAUAAAAUAUGAAUUUUAUUUCACACGCUGCCGGUUGUGGGUCCGAGGCAGGUUGUCACAUGUGGUCUGGCUGCUGUCUGUUCAUAUAUUUAGUCUCUCAAUUGGAAAAAUGAAAUUUUGAGUGAUGUGUGAAUG